ensembl:lncRNA
GUCAGGUUUGGUUGGUGAGGAAGAUCCAGCUUUUGCUUUUGUUAUUCCGAAGAUUUGAAACAGCCGAUGCAAACACAGCCACCUCCAAGUCAAACGUGUUGCAUCUGCAGCCAUCAUGGCCACCAGCUGAAUGAAUCUGCAGCUGCGGCGUGAGCAGAUGGAAACCUGACAUCUGCCACCAUGCUGUAAGGCAGCUGUUGGCGACGACUGGCCUUUUCAUUGAUAGUUUGGGGGGGGGGGUUCGGUAAUAUUUGAUUUUUGUAUGUUCCACCACUGGAUGAAACAGAACUUAUUUAUUUGUUGUGGUACUGGCACAACAAGCGGCCCUUAAGCGGCCCAAAGUGUGCUAAGAAAAUAUCCCCACACCAUGACAUCACCACGAGCAGCCUGAACUGUUGAUACAAAGCAGGAUGGUUGUUCACAUUUUGACUCUACUUCCUGAAUAUUGCAGUAAAAAUCGAGACUCGUCAAACCCAGCAACAUUUUUUGAAUCUUCUGCCGUCCACCUCUUGUGUAAUCUUGAAGAAUUUACAGAAAGCCCAAAAAUUAAACUACCUCCAUUUACUGG